rnacentral:lncRNA from 1 species
UGCAGCUGUUUUCUCCUCUUUGCUAAUCAUUAGCUGUGUUGUAAUGAAGAUCCACAGUGACUAAUUCUUCAGUCUCCUAAGGAGGUUGAGAUAUAUCAGUGCUGGUGUGAGGCUGUGGUGUGGAACAGCUCUCUCUUAAGCUGUCACUCGAGAGGUACAGAUUCACUGUCUGCCAUUUAAACUGGAGGAGGAGCCCUCUUAAGGAUUGCCAAGAGAGCCAGAAUGGAGAGGUGAAGGAGCCUGGAAGAGUCCUCCCCAUCCUUUCUGUGGACCAGCAACGAACAACUGGGGGAUGGAGUACAAAAGCUCAGCUUCUCUGCUUCCAGAUGGAGAAACUUUAAGGUGUAAUUUCUGCUCUCAAUCUCCCCACAGGGUCAGGCCAGCCCUAGGACUUCCUCCCUAAAACAUACCCUUUCCUUGACUUGGCCCCUUCCCAGUCCUCCUCCUACUUCUCGUUAUCUCUUUGAAUAGCACAUCCUUAAUAAAUCACUUGUAUCCAAAUU